CAGAAUCGACAGCGAAGUCCCAGGAUAAAUAACUCCAUUCCAAAGGAUAAGAUCAAGAUACGAAUCAUGAUUUCAAAGGUCACCAUCAUUUUGCUGGGAUGUGCCACAGUCCUUUCAGCCCUUCACUUAGGCUCAGUGACCCUGGAACCGUCGGCGACUACUACCACAAUGCCUGAAGGAGGAGAAGAAGUCGUGGAUUUCGCUACUCAACCGUGGCCCAUGGCGGAUAACGGAGAUGUCGUUCUCGAGAGUAACGUCACAGGAUCUGAUGCUGUACCUUCAUUUAAUGUCACAGGAUCUGAUGCCGACCCUUCAUUUAAUAACACAGGAUCUGUCGAAUCAAGAUUUAGAUUUUGUCUUUUGCUUUGUUUUGGAGGUAAAUAACCAUCACCCAAAUACUCUUUGCCAUUAGCGCCAAAGCGCAUCAAGUAUUUCCAGGAACCAGGAGACUGGAAUUGCACCUCUGUUUCUCAAGACGGGAAUUUGAUUUCACGCUCCGGGGAUUUAUUUAAGGAAUGGGAAUUCAUCACCAUACUUGCUUUCUUGGACGGUGACUAUAUGGAUGUCACAAUCCGACUGCCAUGUAUUUGAAACUCUUCUCUAUUCACCCUUUUAGGCCUGUGCCAAUUUCAUGCUUAUAGGAAAAUCGUAUACUAGGCAAAUAGCAGGUGUCAUCUCUCUAGAUUUUCUUUCACUUCUUCAUUGUUUGGAGUGGUGUGGAUAUGUUGAAAGACUGUAUGUAAAAGGCAAUAAACAUUAUAAUAAAACCAUAAAAAA